GUUCUACCUUGACGAAUUGUAGUUUAAAGAAGUGUUUUCUGUUAGAGGAGUAGCAAAAGUUCCUUGGAAUGGGACAUCAUAGAGGGUGAGAAUCCCGCAUUUGGUUAUUCUUUCUAGCUUUGUGAUACACUUUCAAAGAGUCGGAUUGUUUGGGAAUGCAGUCCAAAAUGGGUGGUAAAUUUCAUCUAAAGCUAAAUAUUGGCGAGAGACCGAUAGCGAACAAGUACCGUGAGGGAAAGAUGAAAAGAACUUUGAAAAGAGAGUUAAACAGUACGUGAAAUUGUCAAAAGGGAAGCGUUUGACACCAGUGUUGUUUUUCCGAAAAUCAAUUAAGAAGGACUUGAUUUUGUGUUGUAUUGACCUUAUCAGCUUUCUUCACUCUUUUUCGAGUCUUUCUU
rnacentral:rRNA from 1 species